rnacentral:rRNA from 1 species
GACGAACGCUGGCGGCGUGCUUAACACAUGCAAGUCGAACGGAAAGGCCCUGCUUUUGUGGGGUGCUCGAGUGGCGAACGGGUGAGUAACACGUGAGUAACCUGCCCUUGACUUUGGGAUAACUUCAGGAAACUGGGGCUAAUACCGGAUAGGAGCUCCUGCUGCAUGGUGGGGGUUGGAAAGUUUCGGCGGUUGGGGAUGGACUCGCGGCUUAUCAGCUUGUUGGUGGGGUAGUGGCUUACCAAGGCUUUGACGGGUAGCCGGCCUGAGAGGGUGACCGGCCACAUUGGGACUGAGAUACGGCCCAGACUCCUACGGGAGGCAGCAGUGGGGAAUAUUGCACAAUGGGCGGAAGCCUGAUGCAGCAACGCCGCGUGCGGGAUGACGGCCUUCGGGUUGUAAACCGCCUUCGCCUGUGACGAAGCGUGAGUGACGGUAAUGGGGAAAGAAGCACCGGCUAACUACGU